AGAUGGGUGGAGCUAGGGAAAGCCUUCAUGGAAAGGGUUUCAUCUUUCUGAACAUUCACCACACUGGUGGACAAAUCCUUUUUGUGUGAGGAAGAUGUGGCUGUUGGGAGAGUCAAGUAAUUGAAUGACGUGAAUUUCCUGGAGUUUCCAUAAGUUCCUGUAAAUUUAGCCUCCAACUGAAAUAAACCAACUGAAUGUAAGACAUCAGACCCUAAAGAACCAAAGUUGUUAUUUCUGUGGAAGACCAGCCAACCUAUUCUCACAGCUGAAACAAUGGAUCUGGCCUGCAGAGUGUUAAGGCAUUCUCCAAGUUUCAAAACAAGAGUACACCAUUUUGAAGGCCUAUAAAUAGAAAGAAUUUUUCAAAUAUUAAUUCAGUAAUGACCUCUGUCUUUGGAAAAGAUAAUUGCAAUGUGUUACUGCGAACCAAUUUAAACCUGUAUUUCUCAUUGCAUUUAAUAUUUAAUUUUGUUUUUUAUCAUUAUAUAUCAACAGUUCUUUCUGGAGCAAAGCAAUCCUAUUUGACUUUUUUUUUUUUUAACCUUAUAGUGCACACACACAUGUAUGUGUAGGGUUAUUUAAACAAGGAAACAUUUACAUCAAAAUGUGCAAAGAGUUAUCCUGGAAUAGAAAUGCUGAAAAUAUAUUUUCAAGAAGUUUUAAAAUUCUAGGCUGGCCUCAAUGUAUUCAGUAGCAUGCCAGAAACAGAAAAAAAAAUUUAAUCUCUCCAUUUGCUUAUUCCUAUUAACAUAUAUAGAAAAAAAACUUGCUCUAAACCUAAUGCCUAUGCGAUAUGUUUGUUUCCUGAUGCUGAUGAUAAAUCAUAACCGGGCACUUGGUUAUAUUUUUUAAUGUUCUACAUUUCUAGCACUGCUACUGUAUUCACAAUGAGCUUUAUAUCUGACAGUAAUUUUAUUUUCAGGUUCAGUCAUAUGAUGCCUUUCUAUAGGAAUAGGUUCUAUCACAGGAACAAAUUAUUCAAAUCUAGUUUAACGGACUCAGCAAUUCUCCUCAGUUUUAUCUUGGGCAUUUUGUAUUCCUUUGCCUAAACCUAGUGGCUAUGUAACAAUUCAAUUACCAAAGUCCUUCAUCCAGAAAGUGCUGUUGAUUUCCAGUAAUUCUUAUUCUGUUUGAUUUCUUUUUUUUUUCCUCCUAGUUUAACACAUGCCAGUUGGUGUCGACUGAGUUAAAAAUCUUGAAAUAAGCCUGGCACUGUGUCAGUACAUAGGUUAAAAAAUGAAACAAAAAAAUUUAAUAAAAUAUACGCUAGAAAUGGAAAA